GAACCGUGCGAACGUUAUUCGGAAUCACUGGGCUUAAAGAGCGCGUAGGCGGCAUCGUAAGUUGGAGGUGAAAUCCCAUCGGCUCAACCGUGGAACUGCCCCCAAUACUGCGAUGCUCGAGGGAGAUAGGGGUAUGUGGAACUUCCGGUGGAGCGGUGAAAUGUGUUGAUAUCGGAAGGAACGCCGGUGGCGAAAGCGACAUACUGGAUCUCUUCUGACGCUGAGGCGCGAAAGCUAGGGGUAGCGAACGGGAUUAGAUACCCCGGUAGUCCUAGCCGUAAACGAUGGGCACUGGGUAGAAAGCGUUCCGAUGCGCCCUUCUACCGUAGCGAAAGCGUUAAGUGCCACGCCUGGGGAGUAUGGCCGCAAGGCUG
rnacentral:rRNA from 1 species